rnacentral:rRNA from 1 species
UACGUAGGGUGCAAGCGUUGUCCGGAAUUAUUGGGCGUAAAGAGCUCGUAGGCGGUCUGUCACGUCGGCUGUGAAAACCCGGGGCUCAACCCCGGGCCUGCAGUCGAUACGGGCAGACUAGAGUGCGGUAGGGGAGACUGGAAUUCCUGGUGUAGCGGUGAAAUGCGCAGAUAUCAGGAGGAACACCGGUGGCGAAGGCGGCCCGCUGGGCAGGAAGGCUCGCAAGAGCCGGCUGGCGCUGAGGCGCGACAGCGUGGGGAGCAAACAGG